AAUCCUCAUCAGCCCAUCACCACCAUACACAUUCAUGAGAAAAUCGAACUUGUUCAUAUUUUCCCCGAAGCCAUGAGCAGCCUCACUAACACCACCACAACCUUCCUCCAAUCCCACAUCGUCGCCAAACCCCAAAAUUUCCGUCACAAAAUCUCACUCCCGGUAAUCAGAGCCUCAUUUCCAGGAGAAAACGAUCAAGAAAAUAACGCCGCGAGUCGAAGAAAAAUUGUGACAACAUUCUUGGCCACUACAUUGGCACUUGGGGCGCAUCAACACGGGGUUGCCACCCCGCUCGGGCUAGCUGAAAAUUGGGGUGUUCGUUCGUUUAUAAGGGAACGUUUUUUCGAGCCCGGACUUUCGCCCGAAGAUGCCGUUGCUAGGAUAAGGCAAACAGCUGAAGGGCUACAUAGCAUGAGGGACAUGUUGGAGGCCAUGGCUUGGAGGUACGUCAUAUUUUACAUCCGUCUGAAGUCGGCCUAUCUAUCCCAAGAUUUGAAAAAUGCCGUGACCUUGGUGCCAGAAGGUCGCCGGAACGAGUAUGCUAAGACGGCCAAUGAAUUGGUGGAUAACAUGGCAGAGCUUGACUAUUACGUUCGAACGCCAAAAGUGUAUGAAUCGUACUUAUACUACGAGAAGACAUUGAAAUCGUUGGAUGAUUUGGUUGCGCUGUUGGCCUAGUUUUAAGAUGGUUGGACAUCUUUUGUUUGAAACUGGAUUGAACCAAAUAUGUUUGGAUGAUCGUCAAGGAACCGAUGAGACCUUGAUGCAGUGUGUUGUGUUGGAGAUUAAUUCGGCUCAAGGCGAGUUGCGGAGUUAUGACUCAAUGGUUGCUUGGUACAUGAUCCAUCUCUUUUGGAUCCAAGCUCAGUAAGAAUGGUCAGCCUAAGAGUAAGAAGGCGGUUCCUUAGAUUGAACAACACCACAAGUAAUUUCACUGGUCUUCUGUUUUAAUUGUAUAUAUACAUACUCUCAUCAAAGCAUUCUUCUCUUCAUCAUGCUAUUGAACUUUAAGAAUUUCA